AGACGUCGCGUCGGGAGAGACCGGCCCCUGUGAAGGUGGCCGGCGCCGAAGGAGCAACCGCCCCGGAAACUCUCAGGCAAAAGGACCGCGCGACGGCC
rnacentral:ncRNA from 2 species